GCUGCCCAGAAGGAGAGCAAGCAGCCUUUGGUCGCCUGUCCGCUUCCCUACCCCUACGUUGACAGCUUGUUUUUCUUUUGCAGGCGGAAGGAAGGGUGGGAGAGAAUGCUCGCUCUGGGAAUUGGUCUUUGCUCUAGAAACCGUUAAAGGCUGAUCUAGAGCCCCGCGAGGAGCAGAAACAUUGCAUUUCAGGAACUCUUCAGGGAUAAGGUAGUAAAUGUUCCUCCAUCCCAUCCAACAAAUAGGCUGGCAAGGCCCUGUACUGAGGUGGAGAAGGCCGGGGCGCGGGUCUUCUGAGAGUUGACAAUCCCUGGAGGCAUGGAAAAAGGAUGUGAGGAAGCCCGGCCAGCAAUAAAUCCUGCAAGCCAGGAGAGACAAGUAGUAGGUGCUGCAGAUGGUACAAAAAUCAAGAGCUUGCGUGCGGCAUGGGAGGCAUUUCAUUUACAGGUGGUCUCAAGCCAGAAAAUAUUCACCUCAUCUGUGUGAACUAAUUUAUUACGGACCUGUUCCCAGGAGAACUUGGUCAAGGAGUGAAGGAAACAGAAAGCCAAAUUGGGUAGGAUUUCAGAAUAAGUCCUUGGAGGGCUGCCCAGCCUGACUCAGCAGGGGAUGCUGGAGGAACCUUGAGUUCGGAUAAGAAGUUCAGCUAUGCCUCUAGAAACACAAUGUGAAGAAGCAUCAAGGAGAGUGGGAGGCCCUGAGACGACACGGAAAGAGACGCUUAGCACCCUCCAUGUCCGCACUGCCCACAGCUGACUUGCCAGCUGAGGGCUAGCAGAAGAAUCAGAAGCUGAGCCAGGCCAGAGUCCAAACUUGUAAGAAAAUAAAAUAGUGGAUUCAAACCAGUAAGUUUUGGUGUGUUUAGUUUUAAAGCAAGAAAUAACCAGAAAUUGCACCUCCUACAUAUCUAGCACUGCAUAGUUGCCAACGAAGUAUAAAAAAUACAUGCUGGAGUGAUGCAUGUUUAACUUCCAGUUUUGUUUUACAUUUUAUCUUAUUGUGGUAAGAACACUUAACACUCUCUUAACAAAUUAAGUGUACAGUACAUUGCUGUUGACUAUAGGUGCAGUACUAUACAACAGGUCUCUAGAACUUAACUCAUGCUGCAGUUAAGAAACUUUAGACCUAUCAAUUAACAACUCCCCACUUUCCCUUCCCCACCAGCCCCUGACAACCACCAUUCCACUGUGAUUUUAUGAACCUGGCCAUUUUAGAUACCUCAUAUAAUUGACUUUUAGCUUUUGAGCUGGAAUAUAGUAUACAUCUUUCCACUGAAAAUUUCGGAAAUUACAUUUUUGUUAGUAAUAUAUGUCAGCUACACUUUAGAUGAUUCAAAAUACAGCAUGGAAUAUCAAUUAUAUUGAGCACUUUGUGGGUGAAUGAACUUUCAAUUUCUCAUAGGUAAUUUAUAAAUGAACUUUGGAACAUAUUAGCUUACUGGAUUUUGCCUGUAUUAUCACAUGCAGACCUUCAAGGUAUAAUGUCCAAUUAUUGCAGUAAUUCAGGCAAGGGAGAUAUUUGGACCUGCCUGAGUGAUUUAAGAAAGACGCAUGCCACUUGGCUUUCAGGAACUGAUAGGAAGGAGUUGGAGUGAGCCAGGCACAGAGGAACAAGACAGACAUUCUAAAUGAGGUUUGACGUUGUCAGAGACAUAGCGGCAGAGCGGAAGCUGCCAUGUUAGAAGGGCACAUAAAGAGUUGGUUUAGGAUCACACUGGAUGGGUGAAGAAGACUUUAAAGAACUUAUUCAAAGGUAACUGAGCAAGGAAAUUACAUGAUUACACCAUGUUUUAGACUUACGAAUUUGGCAGCAAUUCCCAAGACAAGGUAGAAGAGGGAGCGAUCUGACAAAAUCAUGAAGUAGAACAGACAUGCAAUGUUUUCAGCAGCUUUCUCUAGUAUUCUCAAAUGAGUUUUUUUUUAAAAAAAGAAAUAUAAAAUAAUUGCAAUAAAUGCCAAUAAGUACUUCUGCAAUUGAAUCAAACACUUUCAUAUAAUGUCAUAUAACAACAAAUUAGAAAGACUACCAUAUCUCUUAAGAUUUCAAAAAGUCAGUUCUUUAGUUAAGUAACUUUGAUGAUCACCUUAGGAUGUUUCAUGAUACUUUAAAUAAAGAGAUGUAAAGGUUUUUUUAGGAACAACCUUUGGCAUCCUGGAACAAUUUUGUUUAUAUUGACUUUUCUUAACAAUGUUAUUGUGCAUGUAUAUGCAUAUUCCUGUUUUUCUAUUUCAGUCUCUUAUUCUAGACAAAAUGGUCAUAUUUUGACUGGAUAUUAAACAGCAGAGUAUUUUCUUACACAUUUAAAUGUCUCUGAAAUACACGUGAAUGUGUCUUCUUGUGAUGUGACAGAUAUUCAAAAAAUAAAUCGUUAGCAAGUUACCAAAAGAAUAACUAAGUCAGGAUGAAAAAUAAAAGAAAAAAUCCUCUUCGAUUCUUAGUUUAGUCCAAAAUCUCUCUUAGGGUAGCCUAUACCAUACUUCAUACUGUUGUUUGUAUUACUAAUUGCAUAGAGAGUAUCACAGGAACUAGAGACAAAUACCUUGUUGGAAUGUAUUACCCUUAUAAGCUUUGUAACAAAAUAAUUUGUUUGUAUACAAAUGCUACUCAAUGGAAAGUCCUUAUGUUUAGUAUCCAUUUAUGGCAGAAAAUUUAUAUUCCUAGGAGGAUGAGCUGGGUUAGGAUUUCUUCUAACACACAACCUGGCUAUCCUAACCUAUACAACAUUGUAGAAAUCAGUGGAAAACUUUCCAAAUUUGGUAAAAGUUUUGUAGGCGGUUUAGUAUUUAGCUAAAUUUCCUGGAUUGGUCUCAAAGCUAAUUUAGACUUUAGUGACAUGUAGUAACAACAUGAUACAUUUCCUAUGGCCAGAAUUGGUAUGAUAUGUGCUUCCAUGAUUAAGAGUGUUACAUCAUGUCACUGGAUUACAGGCAAUCUAUUCCCUUGAAAUAGGUAGCCACAAACUUUAACUGAAUAAAGAAUGAGUCAAAUAAGAAUUGUGGCAAAUAUUUCUAAAAUACAAAGUCUGCAUAUAUUUUUAUGUUUGUCUACAUGAGAAUCUACACUAUAAAAGAUUGAAAUUCUUUUAAAAUCUGAAAAUACUGUAUGUUUUUCAAAAACAUUACU